rnacentral:lncRNA from 1 species
CGAAUUUUGCUCUGCACGUGCAGUAGUUCUUACUCGUAUAAAAAGGCGAGUUCCAUCUACGAUUGGCUGCGAACUUCCAAAUAGUAGACGCUCUGCAAACAACUGAGCAUCAGCUUUUCCGGAGCUUUACCAAAAGAAGCAUGCAGCUGAAAGUGAUCCUGGUGGGCUUGGCCAUCUUUGGUCUUAUUGUGGCAGAGAGCGAUGCUGCGUCGGCCAGCAGCUCCAUUGAAGCGGAAGCCAGAGCAGAUCCCGAGACUGCUGAGCGUGCCGAGCAAGGCGGCGCCGAGGAGGCACGCAUCAGUGAGGCAUGCAUGGCUUCCCUGUGCGGGUAGUAACCUGACCCAAGAGAGCGACACGUUUGAACGGUCGUCUCUCGGA